rnacentral:rRNA from 1 species
UACAGAGGUCUCAACCGUUGUUCGGAUUCAUUGGGCGUAAAGGGUGCGUAGGCGGUCGUGCAAGUCGGAUGUGAAAUCUCAGGGCUCAACCCUGAAACUGCAUUCGAUACUGCGUGGCUAGAGUGCUGGAGAGGAGACUGGAAUUUACGGUGUAGCAGUGAAAUGCGUAGAUAUCGGGAGGAACACCAGUGGCGAAGGCGACUACCUGGCCCAUUCUUGACGCUGAGGCGCGAAAGCUAGGGGAGCGAACGGG